UACGUAGGGUGCAAGCGUUGUCCGGAAUUAUUGGGCGUAAAGAGCUCGUAGGCGGUUUGUUGCGUCGGCUGUGAAAUCCCGAGGCUCAACCUCGGGUCUGCCGUCGAUACGGGCAGACUUGAGUGCUGUAGGGGAGACUGGAAUUCCUGGUGUAGCGGUGAAAUGCGCAGAUAUCAGGAGGAACACCGGUGGCGAAGGCGGGUCUCUGGGCAGUAACUGACGCUGAGGAGCGAAAGCGUGGGGAGCGAACAGG
rnacentral:rRNA from 1 species